CGCGGAUGACGCGGCGCCAGUCAGGCCGCAGCCCCGCUGCUUGGCCCGUCGGUCCCGCCUCGGCCGGCUCGGCCCGCCCCCGGCCCUCCCCGCGCGCCCUCCCGUGCGCCCCUGUCAGACCGUGGCGGCCUGUCGCGCGGUGCGCUCUCCCUCCCCGCCCGCAGCCUGGAGAGGCGCUUCGUGCUGCACACCCCCGCGUUCCUGCCGGCACCGCGCCUGCCCUCUGCCGCGCUCCGCCCUGCCGCCGACCGCACGCCCGCCGCGGGACAUGGCACACGCACCGGCAAGCUGCCCCAGCGCCCGGGGCUCCGGGGACGGCGAGAUGGGCAAGCCCAGGAACGUGGCGCUCAUCACCGGUAUCACAGGCCAGGAUGGUUCCUACCUGGCUGAGUUCCUGCUGGAGAAAGGCUAUGAGGUCCAUGGAAUUGUACGGCGGUCCAGUUCAUUUAAUACGGGUCGAAUCGAGCAUCUGUAUAAGAAUCCCCAGGCUCACAUUGAAGGAAACAUGAAGUUGCACUAUGGCGAUCUCACUGACAGUACCUGCCUUGUGAAGAUCAUUAAUGAAGUAAAGCCCACGGAGAUCUACAACCUCGGAGCCCAGAGCCACGUCAAAAUUUCCUUUGACCUCGCUGAGUACACUGCGGACGUUGAUGGAGUUGGCACUCUACGACUUCUAGAUGCGGUUAAGACUUGUGGCCUUAUCAACUCUGUGAAGUUCUACCAAGCCUCAACAAGUGAACUUUAUGGGAAAGUGCAGGAAAUACCCCAGAAGGAGACCACCCCUUUCUAUCCCCGGUCACCCUAUGGGGCAGCAAAACUCUAUGCCUAUUGGAUUGUGGUGAACUUCCGUGAGGCAUAUAAUCUCUUUGCAGUGAAUGGCAUUCUCUUCAAUCAUGAGAGUCCCAGAAGAGGAGCUAAUUUCGUUACUCGAAAAAUUAGCCGGUCAGUAGCUAAGAUUUACCUGGGACAACUGGAAUGUUUCAGUUUGGGAAAUCUGGAUGCCAAACGAGAUUGGGGCCAUGCCAAGGACUAUGUGGAGGCUAUGUGGUUGAUGUUGCAGAAUGAUGAGCCAGAGGACUUCGUUAUAGCUACUGGGGAGGUCCACAGUGUCCGGGAAUUUGUCGAGAAGUCAUUCUUGCACAUUGGAAAAACCAUUGUGUGGGAAGGAAAGAAUGAAAAUGAAGUGGGCAGAUGUAAAGAGACCGGCAAAGUUCACGUGACCGUGGAUCUCAAGUACUACCGGCCAACUGAAGUGUCUUCACAGAGCUGUAACAAAGACAUUGGUGAGUAGGGGCUGAGAGCGGGAUUAAGUUCUUCUCCGCUGGUUUCUUUUAGCCAGCCUUCCUUCCAAGGAAGCCUCUUAAGUCGAUGGAAAUGAAAUGCCCUUGUUUCCUCGAGUGGAGCAGUUGGGGAAAGCGGAAGGAGGGAGGCACUCCCAGAGGGGACGGUGGCGCUCAGUGCGGGGUCCUGCAGAGCUGCUGGCUGCAGCUCCGUGCUGGAUCGCAGAAGGACAAGUGGGUCGAGAUUAGCAUUUUCUUAGGAACAGAAUCGAACGAGUAGAAUAGGGGUAGAAUAGAAUAGACCGUCUACAGAGUUCCUGGACGCUAAGGCUAAGUAUUGCUUCGUGAAACUCCAGUUUCGUUUUAUGAACGCGUGUGUGUGCGGGAGGCGAUGUGAACUGACUUUACUGUGGGUACGAAAAGCCCAAAGCCACCGCCCAGGAAGAACCGCGCUUGGCUGCGGCCCGGACUUUCUGCAGGGCGACUGCACCAAAGCGAAACAGAAGCUGAACUGGAAGCCCCGGGUCGCUUUCGAUGAGCUGGUGAGGGAGAUGGUGCAC